CCCCCUUCCUUCGCUUAUGGAAAAGAAGGCUAUGGUAGGACUUGAAGAAGUCUUUCCUCUGCACAAUAUCCUUGCCUCAUGUCACAGAUACCUCUGCAUGUCUUGAAAUGCAUGUGCCUUUUUAGUGCUUUAAUUAAUGGUAAUGUGCAGAAGGCAAGAUUCCACCGGAUGUAACAUUGGUUUUUGAGAUCGAACUUUAUGUUGUAACCAAAGGACCACGAAGCAUUGAAACGUUUAAACAGAUAGACACUGACAAUGGCAGGCAACUCUCUAAAACUGAGAUAAAUCAGUACUUGGAAAGGGAAUUUGAAAAAGAUGAGAAGCCACGUGACAAGUCAUACCAGAAUGCAGUUUUAGAAGAUAUUUUUAAGAAGAAUGACCAUGAUGGUGAUGGCUUCAUUUCUUCCAAGGAAUACAAUGUAUAUCAACAUGAUGAACUAUAGUUUAUUUUUCUAUCAGAAUUUCUCUACUGUGCUUUAUAAAAUGAAGUCACUUUUCUCCAAGAUGUAUUUUCUAUUUUUCACCCAUGAGAAUAUAUUUGGAGACCUCCUUUACAUGUAAUUAUGUUAUAAUAAAUGUGAGACUGUUUUGCAAGUUUAACUUUGAGGAAACGUUCUAUUGAAUUUCCUAUUGCUUUAUUGACUUCUGUGUCCCAGUGGGCAGUUUUCCCCCUUUGGAACAUAUAUGGCAAAAUCUACAAGCAAUUCCUAAUUCUAACCUUAACA